CUACGGCCCCAUGCGCUUCUACUACCUGAUUGGCUGGGGCGUGCCGGCCUUCAUCACGGGUCUGGCGGUGGGACUGGACCCCGAGGGCUACGGGAACCCCGACUUCUGCUGGCUCUCGCUCUACGACACCCUCAUCUGGAGUUUCGCGGGUCCUGUCGCGUUCGUCGUGUCGGUGAGUGUUUACGCCCGUUUGCAUACUCCUCCUAGGAUGUACUGAGUUUGAAAGUGUCUGUUUCUCUCUCAGAUGAACGUGUUCCUGUACAUCAUGGCAUCGAGAGCGUCGUGUUCAAUCGAGAAGAGAGACGUGCCGGCGUGAGUCUCGUUCACACUGAAUCCUGAAAUGUGUGUGUGUGUAUGUGUGUUAAAGCGUGUGUGUGUGUGUGUGUGUGUGUGUGUGCAGGGCGGGUCUGCGGACAGCGUGUGCCGUGUUGCUGCUGGUGACGGUGACGUGUCUGCUGGCGCUGCUGUCGGUCAACAGCGACAUGAUUCUCUUCCACUAUCUGUUCGCCGGAUUCUGCUGCGUUCAGGGGCCGUUUCUGUUCUUCUUCCGCGUGGUGUUUAAUAAAGAGGCGAGAGACGCCAUGCGCUACUGCUGCAGCAGGAAACGACCCGAUCACAUGAUCAAACCCAAACCAUCCGUGAGUCUGAGAACAACACUGACAUCAGACUCGAAACAACAAAUUACCAUUAGUUUUAUUUGAGCUAUAAAUUGUAAACACUAUCUGAAAAUACAAAACUAUACAAAGCUAUGGAAAAAAUUAAGUGACCAUAUGAGGGUUUGGGUAAAAUGUUAAUAUUUCUUUUAUUCUGUAAAGGUCUGAUAACAUUUCUUCCAAUUAGAGCUUCUUUUUUUUUGUUUGUUUGUUUUUUCUUGCAGAAAAUGACAAUUGGUUCAAAAUAACAAAUAGUUUUUAUUCAAAUGGGUUAUUCCACCAAAUAUUGAAGAAGAGAGACGUGCCGGCGUGAGUCUCGUUCUACACUGAAUACCUGAAUAGUGUGUGUGUGUAUGUGUGUUAAGUACGUGUGUGUGUGUGUGUGUGUGUGUGUGUGCAGGGCGGGUCUGCGGACAGCGUGUGCCGUGUUGCUGCUGGUGACGGUGACGUGUCUGCUGGCGCUGCUGUCGGUCAACAGCGACAUGAUUCUCUUCCACUAUCUGUUCGCCGGAUUCUGCUGCGUUCAGGUACCAGUGAUGUCAUCAGGCGUGAAGACACAAUAGAAGUCUAUUGAGCACAGUACAGUACCAAAGGGUUUAAAAGC
rnacentral:lncRNA from 1 species